GAUGAACGCUGGCGGCGUGCCUAAUACAUGCAAGUCGAGCGAACAGACGAGGAGCUUGCUCCUCUGACGUUAGCGGCGGACGGGUGAGUAACACGUGGAUAACCUACCUAUAAGACUGGGAUAACUUCGGGAAACCGGAGCUAAUACCGGAUAAUAUAUUGAACCGCAUGGUUCAAUAGUGAAAGACGGUUUUGCUGUCUCUUAUAGAUGGAUCCGCGCCGCAUUAGCUAGUUGGUAAGGUAACGGCUUACCAAGGCAACGAUGCGUAGCCGACCUGAGAGGGUGAUCGGCCACACUGGAACUGAGACACGGUCCAGACUCCUACGGGAGGCAGCAGUAGGCAAUCUUCCGCACUGGGCGAAAGCCUGACGGAGCAACGCCGCGUGAGUGAUGAAGGUCUUCGGAUCGUAAAACUCUGUUAUUAGGGAAGAACAAAUGUGUAAGUAACUAUGCACGUCUUGACGGUACCUAAUCAGAAAGCCACGGCUAACUACGUG
rnacentral:rRNA from 1 species